GUCGUCGUUCUCGCAGCCGCGUCGUCGGCUGUCGGCAGAAGGGGCGGUGUUGAGGCCUCUGAAAGCGCCCGCCGCCCUCUCGCGUCUCUCCGCGCCCGUUCUCGAGCGAAUUCCUGCGAUUGCUCCCUGUCGUGUCGCGUUGAAGCCUCCGCGGCCGCCUGUUGCAGUCAUGUCUGACAAAAGUGAACUGAAGGCGGAGUUGGAGCGCAAGAAGCAGCGAUUGGCUCAGAUCAGAGAGGAGAAGAAAAGAAAGGAGGAAGAAAGAAAGAAAAAAGAAACUGAUCAGAAGAAGGAUGUUCUUCCUGUUCAAGAAGAAUCUGACCUUGAAAAGAAGAGAAGAGAAGCUGAAGCAUUACUUCAGAGCAUGGGCUUGACACCGGAGUCUCCUGUU